AUGGCGGCGAAGGAAACCGAACGACGUUCCUUCGGCGACCUCCCCGAGGAGCUGAUCCCGGAGAUCCUCGCCUGCGUGCCGCCCAAGCACCUCCUCCGCUUCCGCGCCGCCUGCAAGGCCUGGUGCGACCUCGCCGCCGACCCCGCCUUCAUCCGCAAGCACCACUCCCGCCAGCCAGCGCAGCCCCUCCUCCUGGCUUACGACGAGCACUGCCUCGAGGCCGUCAACCUCGGCACCAACAGGCGCCGGGCGGUCAUGCGGGUUACGGUGUCUGGCCGCGUGCCCUCCAUCGGCUCCGACGCGCUCGCGCUCCACGGCUCCUGCGACGGCCUGCUCCUCCUCGGCUUCCGCGAGACCUUCCUCGUCUGCAACCCCGCCACGCGCCAAGGUGCUCGCCUGCGGCUGCUGUUUCGUGAUGGCCCGGAAUUCGUGGGGUUCUACAGGCACGCCGCUUCUGGGGAGUACCGGGUGCUGUACCACCUGGUCGAGGGCCUCGACGGGGAGUACUCCUACUACGUCCUCUCGCUGGGAUCCCAGCAGGCGAUCAGGGACAUCGAGCUGCUCGCGUCGUCGGCCGCCGUGGCCGCCGGGCUGGCCAGAGGGCUGGAGAGCUCCAGCACAUCGCCGCCCGUCCUCUUCCGCGGCAGGCUGCACUGGCGGCCGCAACGGAGCCAAGGGGGCAACAUUCUGGUGUUCGACACCGAUGCUGAGUCAUUCAGCUGGAUCCCUCCUCCCGCGGAGGCGAUGCUGGGCGAGCGCCACCACGCGCAGCUGUUUGAGAUGGACGGCACGCUUGCCAUGUUCUGCUGCCACCAAUCUGCACAGAAGUCUGUUAUCUGGUUCAUGGAGGACUACGAGCAGAUGAACUGGGUCAAGCACCCGGUUGAGCUGUCCUUCACACCUGCUUAUGAUCCGGCUGUCCUGUAUCAAGGGGGGGAUGUGCUGGUGCUGGAAUCGGAUAUGCUGGUGUUAGAAAGCCCGGGCAAGCUGUCGCAUUAUGAUAAGAUGGAUAAACUUCAGGGAUCUGUCAACUGUUUUGCUCGGGGCCUCAGAAUUACUCCACAUGUGCUCAAAGAGAGCCUCAUCCUCCCUGAGUUCCUUCGGAAGCAGCAGAAUGACGGUACCUGCCAAUGGUUCCCCGAGCUUGAGUUUCCCUGA
rnacentral:rRNA from 1 species